UGGGGAAUUUUGGACAAUGGGCGAAAGCCUGAUCCAGCAAUGCCGCGUGUGUGAAGAAGGCCUUCGGGUUGUAAAGCACUUUUGUCCGGAAAGAAAUCCUUGGCUCUAAUACAGUCGGGGGAUGACGGUACCGGAAGAAUAAGCACCGGCUAACUACGUGCCAGCAGCCGCGGUAAUACGUAGGGUGCAAGCGUUAAUCGGAAUUACUGGGCGUAAAGCGUGCGCAGGCGGUUUGCUAAGACCGAUGUGAAAUCCCCGGGCUCAACCUGGGAACUGCAUUGGUGACUGGCAGGCUAGAGUAUGGCAGAGGGGGGUAGAAUUCCACGUGUAGCAGUGAAAUGCGUAGAGAUGGUGGAGGAAUACCGAUGGCGAAGGCAGCCCCCUGGGCCAAUACUGACGCUCAUGCACGAAAGCGUGGGGAGCAAACAGGAUUAGAUACCCUGGUAGUCCACGCCCUAAACGAUGUCAACUAGUUGUUGGGGAUUCAUUUCCUUAGUAACGUAGCUAACGCGUGAAGUUGACCGCCUGGGGAGUACGGUCGCAAGAUUAAAACUUAAAGGAAUUGACGGGGUCAUAGCUGUUUCCU
rnacentral:rRNA from 1 species